rnacentral:rRNA from 1 species
AGAAUCAACGCUGGCGGCGUGCCUAACACAUGCAAGUCGAACGAGAAAGUGGUAGCAAUACCAUGAGUAAAGUGGCGCACGGGUGAGUAACACGUGACUAACCUACCCUUGAGUGGGGAUAAACUGAGGGAAACCUUAGCUAAUACCGCAUAAUACCCACGGGUCAAAGGAGCAAUUCGCUCGAGGAGGGGUCGCGGCCGAUUAGUUAGUUGGCGGGGUAAUGGCCCACCGAAGACGAUGAUCGGUA